AACGAACGCUGGCGGCAGGCUUAACACAUGCAAGUCGAACGGUCGUAGCAAUACGAUAGUGGCGCACGGGUGAGUAACGCGUGGGAAUAUACCCCUUAGUCGGGAAUAACAGCGGGAAACUGCUGCUAAUACCCGAUAUUCUCUUCGGAGGAAAGAUUUAUCGCUAGGGGAUUAGCCCGCGUCAGAUUAGCUAGUUGGUGAGGUAACGGCUCACCAAGGCAACGAUCUGUAGCCGGUCUGAGAGGAUGACCGGCCACACUGGAACUGAGACACGGUCCAGACUCCUACGGGAGGCAGCAGUGGGGAAUAUUGGACAAUGGGCGAAAGCCUGAUCCAGCCAUGCCGCGUGAAUGAUGAAGGCCUUAGGGUUGUAAAGUUCUUUUGUCAGGGAAGAUAAUGACGGUACCUGAAGAAUAAGCACCGGCUAACUUCGUGCCAGCAGCCGCAGUAA
rnacentral:rRNA from 1 species